rnacentral:rRNA from 1 species
UACGUAGGAGACGAGCGUUGUCCGGAGUUACUGGGCGUAAAGGGCGCGCAGGCGGCCUGGCGCGUCGCGAGUGAAAUCUCCUGGCUCAACUGGGAGGGUGGUCGCGAGACGGCUGGGCUUGAGGCUCGGUGAGGGGCGUGGAAUUCCGGGUGGAGCGGUGAAAUGCGUAGAGAUCCGGAGGAACACCGACGGCGUAGGCAGCGCCCUAGACGAGACCUGACGCUCAGGCACGAAAGCGCGGGGAGCGAACAGG